UACGGAGGGGGCUAGCGUUGUUCGGAAUUACUGGGCGUAAAGCGCACGUAGGCGGCGAUUUAAGUCAGAGGUGAAAGCCCGGGGCUCAACCCCGGAACAGCCUUUGAGACUGGAUUGCUUGAACAUCGGAGAGGUGAGUGGAAUUCCGAGUGUAGAGGUGAAAUUCGUAGAUAUUCGGAAGAACACCAGUGGCGAAGGCGGCUCACUGGACGAUUGUUGACGCUGAGGUGCGAAAGCGUGGGGAGCAAACAGGAUUAGAAACCCCCGUAGUCC
rnacentral:rRNA from 1 species